rnacentral:rRNA from 1 species
CCUACGGGGGGCAGCAGUGGGGAAUAUUGCACAAUGGGGGAAACUCUGAUGCAGCGACGCCGCGUGAGUGAAGAAGUAUUUCGGUAUGUAAAGCUCUAUCAGCAGGGAAGAAACCCACCCUCCGGGGUGGCUGACGUUACCUGACUAAGAAGCCCCGGCUAACUACGUGCCAGCAGCCGCGGUAAUACGUAGGGGGCAAGCGUUAUCCGGAUUUACUGGGUGUAAAGGGAGCGUAGGUGGCAAGGCAAGUCAGAUGUGAAAACCCGGGGCCCAACCCCGGGAGUGCAUUUGAAACUGUCUGGCUGGAGUGCAGGAGAGGAAAGUGGAAUUCCUGGUGUAGCGGUGAAAUGCAUAGAUAUUAGGAGGAACACCAGUGGCGAAGGCGGCUUACUGGACUGUAACUGACACUGAGGCUCGAAAGCGUGGGGAGCAAACAGGAUUAGAUACCCGGGUAGUC